UACGUAGGGCGCGAGCGUUGUCCGGAAUUAUUGGGCGUAAAGAGCUCGUAGGCGGCCUGUCGCGUCCGCUGUGAAAUCCCGGGGCUUAACCCCGGGCCUGCAGCCGAUACGGGCAGACUAGAGUUCGGCAGGGGAGACUGGAAUUCCUGGUGUAGCGGUGAAAUGCGUAGAGAUCGGGAGGAACACCAGUGGCGAAGGCGGCUACCUGGACCAGCACUGACACUGAGGCACGAAAGCGUGGGGAGCAAACAGG
rnacentral:rRNA from 1 species